CGUUCUGGUGCUGCUGCCCGGACGGCGGCCUGGUGCUUCUCCUUGAGCGGUGUUGCCGGAGAUGGAGGUGCAUUGAAGGCUUGGCAAGUAACGGUCAUUCGACGAGGGUCGUGACAGUCUCGCAAGCAGCAAGGAUUUGGUCGGGGCGUUUUGUCUACCGCAGUGAUGGAGGCGCUUAUUCCGGUCAUUAACAAGCUGCAGGAAGUGUUUAACACGGUGGGAGCGGAUAUCAUCCAACUGCCGCAGAUCGUGGUAGUGGGGACACAGAGCAGUGGAAAAAGCUCUGUGCUGGAGAGUCUAGUAGGACGGGACUUACUUCCCAGAGGUACUGGCAUUGUGACUCGAAGACCUUUGGUUCUGCAGCUAGUGAAUAUUUCUCCAGAGGAACAACGGAAAGCAAAGGGUGAUGAUGAUGGAAUAGAUGCAGAAGAAUGGGGAAAAUUUCUUCACACAAAAAAUAAGAUCUACACAGAUUUUGAUGAAAUUAGACAAGAAAUAGAAACUGAAACGGAAAGAAUUUCCGGUGGCAAUAAGGGAAUUAGUGAUGAGCCAAUUCACCUCCGAAUCUUCUCACCUCAUGUUGUUAACCUUACACUUGUUGACCUUCCUGGAAUAACAAAAGUGCCCGUGGGUGAUCAGCCUCGAGAUAUUGAACUACAGAUAAAAGAUCUCAUUCUACGGUAUAUCAGCAACCCAAACUCGAUUAUUUUAUCUGUUACUGCUGCCAAUACUGACAUGGCAACAUCAGAAUCACUUAAAAUUGCCAGAGAAGCUGAUCCAGAAGGGCGACGAACACUUGCUGUUAUCACAAAGUUAGAUCUUAUGGAUGCUGGCACAGAUGCUAUGGAUGUGCUUAUGGGAAGAGUUAUCCCAGUCAAGCUGGGUAUCAUUGGAAUUGUCAACAGGAGUCAACUGGAUAUCAACAAUAAGAAAUCUGUGGCAGAUGCUUUAAAGGAUGAAUAUGCAUUUCUACAAAAGAAAUAUCCCUCACUUGCUAACAGAAAUGGAACCAAAUAUCUAGCUAAAACUUUGAACAGAUUGCUCAUGCAUCAUAUCAGAGAUUGCUUGCCAGAGCUGAAAACUAGGAUAAAUGUAUUGGCAGCUCAGUACCAGUCUUUACUGAACAGUUAUGGUGAACCAGUCGAGGACAAAAGUGCCACUCUUUUGCAGCUUAUUACCAAGUUUGCAGCUGAGUAUUGCCAGACAAUUGAGGGAACAGCAAAAUACAUUGAAACUUCAGAACUUUGUGGUGGAGCAAGAAUAUGCUACAUUUUUCAUGAAACGUUUGGACGUACUUUGGAAUCUGUAGAUGCACUGGGUGGACUCAAUACUAUUGACAUUCUCACUGCAAUCAGAAAUGCUACUGGUCCACGUCCAGCACUUUUUGUUCCCGAAAUCUCUUUUGAGUUGUUAGUGAAGCGACAGAUUAAACGUCUGGAAGAACCAAGCUUGCGGUGUGUUGAACUGGUCCAUGAAGAAAUGCAAAGGAUUAUACAGCACUGCAGCACAUACAGCACACAGGAAUUGCUCCGUUUUCCAAAACUCCAUGAUGCCAUUGUAGAAGUUGUGACAUCAUUGUUGCGCAGGAGAUUGCCUGUUACCAAUGAUAUGGUCCACAAUUUAGUAGCCAUUGAGCUUGCAUACAUCAAUACAAAGCACCCUGACUUUGCAGAUGCCUGUGGGGUUUUGAAUAGUAAUAUAGAGGAACAAAGACGUAACCGGUUAGCAAGGGAGCCACCUGGAGCUUUGUCUCGAGAAAAGCCUUCUAAAGUUUCCAGUGCUAUAUCAGCUCCUUCCCAGGAGUCUUCUGCUGAGCUGGAGGGGAAGCCUUUAAAUAAGGAAGUUCAAUUACAGAAUGGGAAUCAGGAUGGAGCAUCAGCUGGAAACUGGAGAGGGAUGUUGAAAAUCUCAUCCACGUCAAAGCCCGAUGAAGGAUCAUCUGAUGAAAAGCCAAAGCAGCCUGCUGCCGGCAGUCCUCACAAGGGACCAUCUGUAAAUUUCCUUGAUGUGCGUGUUCCUGUUUCACGUAAACUUUCAGCACGGGAGCAACGAGAUUGUGAAGUGAUUGAAAGAUUGAUUAAAUCCUACUUUUUGAUCGUGAGAAAAAAUAUCCAGGACAGUGUGCCAAAAGCUGUAAUGAAUUUCCUAGUUAAUUAUGUGAAAGACAAUCUUCAAAGUGAACUUGUUGGUCAACUGUACAAGUCAAUGCUGUUAGAAGACCUUCUUACUGAGUCUGAGGACAUGGCCCAGCGCCGGAAGGAAGCUGCAGACAUGCUGAAGGCCUUGCAACGAGCCAGUCAGGUUAUUGCAGAAAUACGAGAAACACAUCUGUGGUGAAGCCUAUUGCCACAUAUCCUAAAGUUUGCCUAAGAGGACACGGCAAUUACUUGAAUGUUGCUGAAUUGAAAAAUGCACUGUUUAUUUGCUUAACAUGUUUUAAAAAAUAUAUAUUUAUGAACUGUUGGCUCUGGUACUGAAGAAACUAUAGAAACCUAAUGCCAUAAAAUGUCUUUUUUUGUAGUUGUUCCUAUUGUGUAAUAUUGGCUCAUAGUUUUUGUGGUGAUAGAAAACAUUGUAAGUUUAACUUGGAAAAUAGAAACCUUUGGAAUCUUGUGCCUCCAAUCCUCUCAUGUUUCCUUGUUAUGUAGGUAGUGAUUUCCUAUUAAGUUUUAUAUUGUCUCAAAAAUACUUAAAACAACUACUCAUUUGCCCAUGAAACACUUAAAAAUUUCCACUUUACUUUCAGAAUAGUCUGUUUAGAGAUUGAAAUAAUUUAAAUUUUUACCCUGUUGUUGAGAGCAAAGGACCAAAUGCCACCUUUAUGAACAUUUCUUGCUGAUUUACAAACCUGAAGACCUAGCAAAUUCUAACAUCUUUCCCAUUAUGUUCAUGAAGAAGGAGAAAUGGACCCUCUGGAAUGAGAGCUGAUGCUGGGACCAGGUCAUAAGCAGCAGACCAUCACAGCAGGAGUUGAAGGGAGCAACUAGCAGAAAAGGUUAAUUAUGAGAAGUCCAGGACAGCUGGAGAAGGCUAGUUAUGUACUGAAGUACAUUACCUCAAGGUGGCACCAUGUAUGCAAAUUUAUCACAAGUGACAAGAAAUUUCACACCUGACUGGAAGAUACAACUGAUUAUAGUAGCUCUACAGUUAAAACUUGCUCUAGAAGGAAAAAUUUUUCAUGUUAAGUGGGGGAAAAAAUACUUUGUUGCAGUAGAUAUUUAUAAAAUGAACAAUUAUAACAUGAAAAUAAUACUUCACAACUGAUUUUUGACCUGAUGUCAACAGAAAUAUUUUCAGUAUGGUUUUCUAGGUAAUCAGCAGUGCUGGGUGUAACUGGUAACUGAAACCAAUUCAAUUACCACAUUCAGGGAACUGAAACUGGGAUCUUCCUAUGCUUGUGAUUGUAUUGAGCAAAUUGUAUUUAACAAAAGAUUGUGGGAACAAGGUAAUGCAUGGCUAUUAAGUGAAUAUUAUUUGUAUUAAUUUAGUUCUGCUCAUUUCUGUUAAUUAGAUAAUUGUGUUCAUAAUAAAUCACUGUAACAGUCUCAUCAUCUUUGUGCUCGUAGGGUUUUGAUGGUAUAUCAAGGAGAAAGUUUCCUGUUGGCUUGCACCAAGACUUACAUGGCUUGAAUGUGUUUCAUUUCAUUAACCUGUAUGUAAUACUGUAAAGCAUUGCAGAAGAAUGUUGACAAUGAAAAUCUCAACUAACAAAUUUUAAACAUUGGUGUUGCAUGUGUUGAGUAUUGUUUUUGUUUUAAUUUGUACAUGUUACCAUUUGUACUUUGGUAUAUGUACCACACAACCACAGACAUUUAAUCAAGGUUUUCAUUAAGGCACAUGAAC